CAGUAGCCACGGGAACACGGAGGAUCCGAGCGUUAUCCGGAAUUAUUGGGUUUAAAGGGUGCGUAGGCGGAUAGAUAAGUCAGUGGUGAAAGACGGUGGCUCAACCAUCGCAGUGCCGUUGAUACUGUUUAUCUUGAAUAUGGAUGAGGUAGGCGGAAUGUGGCAAGUAGCGGUGAAAUGCAUAGAUAUGCCACAGAACACCGAUUGCGAAGGCAGCUUACCAAGGCAAAAUUGACGCUGAGGCACGAAAGCGUGGGGAUCGAACAGGAUUAGAUACCCCUGUAGUCCCUGUCUCUUAUAC
rnacentral:rRNA from 1 species